UACGUAGGGUGCGAGCGUUAAUCGGAAUUACUGGGCGUAAAGCGUGCGCAGGCGGUUUUGUAAGCCAGAUGUGAAAUCCCCGGGCUUAACCUGGGAAUGGCAUUUGGGACUGCAAGGCUGGAGUGUGGCAGAGGAGACUGGAAUUCCUGGUGUAGCAGUGAAAUGCGUAGAUAUCAGGAGGAACACCAAUGGCGAAGGCAGCUCGCUGGGACGGUACUGACGCUGAGACGCGAAAGCGUGGGGAGCAAACAGG
rnacentral:rRNA from 1 species